rnacentral:rRNA from 1 species
AACGAACGCUGGAACGGCGUGCCUAACACAUGCAAGUCGAACGAGAAAGUUCCGUUCGCGGAAUGAGUAAAGUGGCGCACGGGUGAGUAACACGUGGAUAAUCUGCCCUUAAGCGAGGAAUAACAUUUCGAAAGGAAUGCUAAUACCUCAUAAUGUUAUUUUCUCUUCGGAGGGAAUAGCCAAAGGUGACCUCUGUCUCAAGUUGCCGCUUAGAGAUGAGUCCGCGGCCCAUUAGCUAGUUGGUGGGGUAAAAGCCUACCAAGGCGACGAUGGGUAGCUGGUCUGAGAGGAUGAUCAGCCACACUGGAACUGAGAUACGGUCCAGACUCCUACGGGGGGCAGCAGUGAGGAAUCUUGCGCAAUGGGGGAAACCCUGACGCAGCAACGCCGUGUGAGUGAUGAAGGUCUUCGGGUCGUAAAGCUCUGUUUGAAGGGACGAAACGUAUUUGAUUAAUACUCAAAUAACUUGACGGUACCUUCAGAGGAAGCACCGGCUAACUCCGUGCCAGCAGCCGCGGUAAUACGGAGGG